GAGCAUAUUUGGUCAUUCUCAUCUCUCCCAGACGGCAAAGAAAGGAAGAAAGAACAAAUAAAUUUUCUCUCCAUGCCGUGAGUUCAAUCCGAGAGUGACUGGUACGUGGAUUGGGAUCUUGCAGGAGCUUCAAAUAGAAUUUUCCCAGUAUGAACAUCCCGUUGUUUUGACAGUUGAAGCUCAGGCAAAAUAUGUUGGGAAUUUGGGAGGUGCAUUGAGCAAAAAUUUGUUCUUGAAGGACAAGAAACAUAGGUACUAUGUUGUCUCUGCUCUUGCAGAUACAAAAGUAGAUUUGAAAGGUACA